AUGGAUCCAUAUCACUACGAAAACAUCCAUGACCCACACGGCUACAGCUUUCCCGUCCACUCGCAGCCGCCUCUCCUCCUCCACCACUACCCGGCCGCCGCGCUCGCGGAGAGCCGGGUCAGCAGGGGCGGUGCCGGACGGCGCCGCCCCGGCGCGAAGCUCUCGACUGACCCCCAGAGCGUUGCGGCGCGGGAGCGUCGGCACCGGAUUAGCGAUCGCUUCCGCGUGCUCCGCAGUCUCGUGCCCGGCGGCAGCAAGAUGGACACCGUCUCCAUGCUGGAGCAGGCCAUCCACUACGUCAAGUUCCUCAAGGCGCAGGUCAGCCUGUACCAGGCCGCACUCGUGCAGCACGAGGAGGGCUGCGGCGGCGUCGGCCAUGGCGAGUUCGCCGGCGGCGCUGGCGAGGUGACAGCGAUGGAGCUUCCGGCAGCGCAGGCCCUGCAGGAGGUGAUGAGCUGCUACUACGCCGGAGCGCAUCAGGUGGAAGAGCUUGAUCUAUGCGCGGGGCAGAUGAGCAGUAGUUCUCACGAUCUGCCUCCGUUGCCUUCCUGCGUCUUCGACGAAGAGUCUGCGGCCGCGUGCUACUCCGGGUGCAGCCUCCAAGCCGAGGAGAUCGCUCACGCUCACGGAUCUUAUUAG
rnacentral:rRNA from 1 species